rnacentral:rRNA from 1 species
AUUGAACGCUGGCGGCUUGCCUUACACAUGCAAGUCGAACGGUAGAGUAGCAAUACUUGAGAGUGGCGAACGGGUGAGUAAUAUAUCGAAACGUGCCCAGUCGGGGGGGAUAACGUAAAGAAAUUUACGCUAAUACCGCAUACAAUCUAAGGAUGAAAGCGGGGGACCGUAAGGCCUCGCGCGAUUGGAGCGGCUGAUAUCAAAUUAGGUUGUUGGUGAGGUAAAAGCUCACCAAGCCAACAAUCUGUAGCUGGUUUGAGAGAACGACCACCCACACUGGGACUGAAACACGGCCCAAACUCCUACGGGAGGCAGCAGUGGGGAAUUUUGGACAAUGGGCGAAAGCCUGAUCCAGCAAUGCCGCGUGCAGGAAGAAGGCCUUCGGGUUGUAAACUGCUUUUGUACGGAACGAAACGGUCUGCUUUAAUACAGUGGGCUAAUGACGGUACCGUAAGAAUAAGCACCGGCUAACUACGUG